UGUUGCUAUAUAAAUAUGCUCUCUAUAUGCAUGUAUAAUUCCUUUUAGCUUGUGAGCAGUUGUAUUAAUGGUAAGUUUGUACAGAUUGUAACCUCUUUAUAGAAGAAAUUAGCUAUAAUGGGGAAAUGUACUGUUUACGUAGUUUUAUGUUUUUUUAUUCUCUGUAAGACUAUAAUUCCACGGGAUUGUUUCAUUUUCUGGGCAAAAAGGCUCGUAUUUGUUAAAUGUAUGUACGUCGCACUCUCAUUGCUUGAAACGAUAUUCAAAUGGACCCGAGGAUUAGCUCUUUCAGCUGAUCUGUGUCCCUGGGAAUAUGAUGUGUUUUUGAGUUUCACAGGAGAAACCCGCAAGGGUUUCACAGACCACCUGUACCGUGCAUUGAAGAGGCGAGGAGUCAAUGUUUUCAGGGACCAACAACUUGAAAGAGGCACAACUCUUUCUUCAGAGCUCUUGACUGUGAUCGAGGAGUCGAGGUUUGCAGUCAUCGUCCUCUCGCAACAUUACGCUUCCUCCACUUGGUGUUUAGAUGAACUUUCAAAAGUUUUUGAAUGCAUGGAAGUCAGGGGCACAAUACUGCCCAUUUUUUAUAAGGUGAAGCCCUCCAAUGUACGAAGACUAAGGGGAAAUUUUGCAAGAGCCUUCUACAAGCAUGAAUACACUAACAUAGCAAAAGUGCAAAGAUGGAGAAGUGCUUUUACAAGAGUGGGCGGUAUCGCUGGAUGGAUAUCAGAUGAUUGGUAGGUAUGAGUCUGAGCUUAUCGAAAAAAUUGUAGACUGUGUGUGCGACGCAUUGUAGUUGAAUCCAAAAAUCAGAGACUCGACGCUGAAGUCCAAUAAUGAUGAUAUGAACCUGUCAAAAGUUCAAGAGAAGGGAGAUCAAUUAACUUAAGUGCUAUCAAGGCUAAUCAGGAAGGUCUAUUUGAUAGUUAAAUAGAUUCUCGUCCGGUCAAUAUGCCACUACAUUUAGCAGUAGUACUGAAGAGAGAAGAGAUUUGGCCAAUGGAUCUAGAUCAAAAUGUUGACCAACACCUUGGUCUAACUAAGAUCUAUUGAUCUAAAUAUCAAUUGGGGCAAUCGGUCCACCGCUGAGCAAUCCACCGCUGAGCAAUAAACGAAGUCAUGGAGGAAGAAAGUAAUGUUAAUCAACUUUGG